rnacentral:rRNA from 1 species
UACGAAGGGGGCGAGCGUUGUUCGGAUUUACUGGGCGUAAAGGGCGCGCAGGCGGCACAUUUUGUCAGGCGUGAAAUCCCUCAGCUUAACUGGGGAACUGCGUCUGAUACUGGAUGGCUUGGAUUCGGGAGAGGAAUGCGGAAUUCCAGGUGUAGCGGUGAAAUGCGUAGAUAUCUGGAGGAACACCGGUGGCGAAGGCGGCAUUCUGGACCGAUAUUGACGCUGAGGAGCGAAAGCCAGGGGAGCAAACGGG